GUAGCCCAGUCUGGAAAAGGAAAAGACCAUACCAUCUUUGCCCAGUCUGGAAAAGGAAAAGAACAUACCAUCUUCGGUAAGUAUAGAGAUCCUCAAUUAGUGUAUUGAAAUUGCUUAGUAUUAAAACACGCACGUCCUCUCUUGAAUAUGUAAACAAUUUCUAUGUCAAAUUUGCAGUGUACAUGUAUUGUUCUCAAACACUUAUGGAAACAAGUUCAUUGUUGCAUUGCAGUGUAAUACAGAUUUAACAGUAAGCACCCAUAUAUCUCACAGAAUUGCUCAUUGAAUAUAAACCGGAGAGAUCAUUACGUUCUCGUAAAAGAUCAAUGUUCACUGUACCUAAAACUGCAAUAAAAUCAUAUGGUGAGAGAUCAUUUUCACAUGAAGCAUCUAUUUUAUGGAAUAGCCUACCAAACUACUUCACAAAUAUCACACCAUAUGACAAAUUCAGGAGUAACCUAAAAACUUAUCUCUUUGAAACCCAAUAACCUUGGUGAUAAUCCCAGCUCUUCUGAUUUCUUUCACACUUCUAUUUCUGUUUAAGCGCAUAGGGACUUUCUCAUGAUUGUGUUAUGCGCUAUAUAAAGAUAUUUCAUUAUUAUUAUUUUUUUAUUAUGCAAACAAGUGUUACUAUCGAAUUGAUACAAUGUUUAUGAUACCUGUAGAUGCCUUAUUUGCCUUCUCGUAUUCGGGCAGAACAGAAAAGAAAAGAAACGAAAAUGCUGACAAAGUGAAAUAUAAAAAGG